rnacentral:rRNA from 1 species
CCUACGGGGGGCAGCAGUGGGGAAUAUUUGGCAAUGGGCGCAAGCCUGACCCUGCAACGCCGCGUGAAGGAAGAAGGCUUUCGGGUUGUAAACUUCUUUUCUCAGGGACGAAGCAAGUGACGGUACCUGAGGAAUAAGCCACGGCUAACUCCGUGCCAGCAGCCGAGGUAAUACGUAGGUGGCAAGCGUUAUCCGGAUUGACUGGGUGGAAAGGGCGUGUAGGCGGGACUGGAAGUCAGAUGUGAAAACCACGGGCCUAGCCGGUGGACUGCAUUGGAAACUGUAGUUCUUGAGUACUGGAGAGGCAGACGGAAUUCCUGGUGUAGCGGUGAAAUGCGUAGAUAUUAGGAGGAACACCAGUGGCGAAGGCGGUCUGCUGGACAGCAACUGACGCUGAGGCGCGAAAGCGUGGGGAGCAAACAGGAUUAGAUACCCUAGUAGUC